CAGUAGCCGCGGUAAUACGGAGGGUGCAAGCGUUAUCCGGAUUCACUGGGUUUAAAGGGUGCGUAGGCGGGCAGGUAAGUCAGUGGUGAAAUCUUCGAGCUUAACUCGGAAACUGCCGUUGAUACUAUCUGUCUUGAAUAACGUUGAGGUGAGCGGAAUAUGUCAUGUAGCGGUGAAAUGCUUAGAUAUGACAUAGAACACCGAUUGCGAAGGCAGCUCACUAAACGCUCAUUGACGCUGAGGCACGGAAGCGUGGGGAUCAAACAGGAUUAGAUACCCGUGUAGUCCCUGUCUCUUAUAC
rnacentral:rRNA from 1 species